rnacentral:rRNA from 2 species
AAACCAACAGGGAUUGCCCCAGUAACGGCGAGUGAAGCGGCAAGAGCUCAAAUUUGAAAGCUGGCUCCUUCGGGGUCCGCAUUGUAAUUUGCAGAGGAUGCUUCGGGAGCGGUCCCCAUCUAAGUGCCCUGGAACGGGACGUCAUAGAGGGUGAGAAUCCCGUAUGGGAUGGGGUGUCCGCGCCCGUGUGAAGCUCCUUCGACGAGUCGAGUUGUUUGGGAAUGCAGCUCUAAAUGGGUGGUAAAUUUCAUCUAAAGCUAAAUAUUGGCCGGAGACCGAUAGCGCACAAGUAGAGUGAUCGAAAGAUGAAAAGCACUUUGAAAAGAGAGUUAAAAAGCACGUGAAAUUGUUGAAAGGGAAGCGCUUGCGACCAGACUCGCUCGCGGGGUUCAGCCGGCAUUCGUGCCGGUGUAUUUCCCCGCGGGCGGGCCAGCGUCGGUUUGGGCGGUCGGUCAAAGGCCCUCGGAAGGUAACGCCCCUAGGGGCGUCUUAUAGCCGAGGGUGCAAUGCGACCUGCCUAGACCGAGGAACGCGCUUCGGCUCGGACGCUGGCAUAAUGGUCGUAAGCGAC